rnacentral:rRNA from 1 species
GACGAACGCUGGCGGCGUGCUUAACACAUGCAAGUCGAACGGUGAUCUUGAGAGCUUGCUCUUGGGUGAUCAGUGGCGAACGGGUGAGUAACACGUGAGUAACCUGCCCUGACUCUGGAAUAACUUCGGGAAACCGAAGCUAAUACCGGAUAUGACACAGAGCCGCAUGGUUUCUGUGUGGAAAGUUUUUCGGUUGGGGAUGGACUCGCGGCCUAUCAGCUUGUUGGUGAGGUAAUGGCUCACCAAGGCGACGACGGGUAGCCGGCCUGAGAGGGCGACCGGCCACACUGGGACUGAGACACGGCCCAGACUCCUACGGGAGGCAGCAGUGGGGAAUAUUGCACAAUGGGCGAAAGCCUGAUGCAGCGACGCCGCGUGAGGGAUGAAGGCCUCGGUUGUAACCGUCUUUCAGUAGGGAAGAAGCGCAAGUGACGGUACCU